rnacentral:lncRNA from 10 species
GAGAAAACAGUAAGGACGUGUUUUCUCUCACAAUCUGACACAUCUAUGAUUGAGUGAUUGAUUGUUUUUCAUUUAACAAUUAUUAGGCCUUACCAGGCUUAGCAGGCACAGUUGUAGGUGCUGGGAAUACAGCGUUGUACAAAACAGAAAAGAUACUGCUUCUUGACGUUCUAGCAGGUCUAUCCACGGCCUUCUCAACAGAUGACUUCAAGUUGAUUUCGUGCUUUAUUUCUUAAGAAUAGUGACUAACCUAAGGGAUCUGAUUCAAUUUAUUAGGAACACAGUGCCACCUUCCAAAAUUACUUACCUAAGAGGACUGAGCCUGCUGUCCCUGGAGCAGUUAGCUAAAACAGUGCCUCAGUACGGAGCGUACCUGUGUUAACUUCUAGAGUGCUGUUUCCGGCAGCUGCUGAAAUCCACGCUGAGGUUAUCAAGCUCAUCCUACAAAAUAAAGUGUCUCUGAUGAAUGACACAUUGAUCAACCCAUAUUCUUCAGACUCUACCAUGUGAAGCCAAUGAAAGAUGCCUGCUGGUGACCAAAUGAUGUUCAUGUAAAAUGGCCAUUCUGGCAAAUUUAAUAAGCUUUAGAUUUAUUUUAAAAACCAACCAGUAUUUCUAUCCCUUCUCAAGGCAAUGUUUUCUAUUUGAGGUUUCACUUGACAUGACCAGGUAGGAAAAUUGAUGAAUAGUCAUAAGAAGAAACUUU